GAAAUGCGAUAAGUAAUGUGAAUUGCAGAAUUCAGUGAAUCAUCGAAUCUUUGAACGCACCUUGCGCCCCUUGGUAUUCCGAGGGGCAUGCCUGUUUGAGUGUCUUGAAAUCAUCAAACCUAACCGGUCUUGUUGCCGGCGCGGUUUGGACUUGGGGGUUCAUUGCUGCCGCUCGCGGUGGCUCCCCUUAAAUGCAUCGGUCGGGCUUUCGUGCGGCUCUGUCCCUUGGCGUUGUAUUACCCUCGUCGCUGGAUGGCUCGCGAUUCUGUGCCCUUCCCUGACUUGCCUCUGGAGUGGCGGUCUUCAACAUUUGUGAUCUGACCUCAAAUCAGGUAGGACUACCCGCUGAACUUAA
rnacentral:misc_RNA from 1 species